CAGGCUUAACACAUGCAAGUCGAGGGGCAGCAUGGUCUUAGCUUGCUAAGGCCGAUGGCGACCGGCGCACGGGUGAGUAACGCGUAUCCAACCUGCCUUACACUCUUGGACAGCCUUCUGAAAGGGAGAUUAAUACAAGAUGUUAUCAUGAGUAAGCAUUUUCGCAUGAUUAAAGGUUUACCGGUGUAAGAUGGGGAUGCGUUCCAUUAGAUAGUAGGCGGGGUAACGGCCCACCUAGUCUUCGAUGGAUAGGGGUUCUGAGAGGAAGGUCCCCCACAUUGGAACUGAGACACGGUCUAAACUCCUACGGGAGGCAGCAGUGAGGAAUAUUGGUCAAUGGACGAGAGUCUGAACCAGCCAAGUAGCGUGAAGGAUGAAGGUUCUAUGGAUUGUAAACUUCUUUUAUACGGGAAUAAACGGAUCCACGUGUGGAUUUUUGCAUGUACCGUAUGAAUAAGGAUCGGCUAACUCCGUGCCAGCAGCCGCGGUAAUACGGAGGAUCCGAGCGUUAUCCGGAUUUAUUGGGUUUAAAGGGAGCGUAGAUGGGUUGUUAAGUCAGUUGUGAAAGUUUGCGGCUCAACCGUAAAAUUGCAAUUGAUACUGGCAGUCUUGAGUACAGUUGAGGUAGGCGGAAUUCGUGGUGUAGCGGUGAAAUGCUUAGAUAUCACGAAGAACUCCGAUUGCGAAGGCAGCUUACUAACCUGUAACUGACAUUGAUGCUCGAAAGUGUGGGUAUCAAACAGGAUUAGAUACCCUGGUAGUCCACACGGUAAACGAUGAAUACUCGCUGUAGGCGAUAUACAGUCUGCGGCCAAGCGAAAGCAUUAAGUAUUCCACCUGGGGAGUACGCCGGCAACGGUGAAACUCAAAGGAAUUGACGGGGGCCCGCACAAGCGGAGGAACAUGUGGUUUAAUUCGAUGAUACGCGAGGAACCUUACCCGGGCUUAAAUUGCAACCGAAUAUGGCGGAAACGCUAUAGCUAGCAAUAGCGGUUGUGAAGGUGCUGCAUGGUUGUCGUCAGCUCGUGCCGUGAGGUGUCGGCUUAAGUGCCAUAACGAGCGCAACCCUUGCCGAUAGUUACUAACAGGUCAUGCUGAGGACUCUGUCGGGACUGCCAUCGUAAGAUGUGAGGAAGGUGGGGAUGACGUCAAAUCAGCACGGCCCUUACGUCCGGGGCUACACACGUGUUACAAUGGGGGGUACAGAGGGCUGCUACCACGCAAGUGGAUGCCAAUCCCAAAAACCUCUCUCAGUUCGGAUUGAAGUCUGCAACCCGACUUCAUGAAGCUGGAUUCGCUAGUAAUCGCGCAUCAGCCACGGCGCGGUGAAUACGUUCCCGGGCCUUGUACACACCGCCCGUCAAGCCAUGGGAGCCGGGGGUACCUGAAGUGCGUAACCGCAAGGAGCGCCCUAGGGUAAAACUGGUGACU
rnacentral:rRNA from 1 species